rnacentral:rRNA from 1 species
AGCUCCAAUAGCGUAUAUUAAAGUUGUUGCGGUUAAAAAGCUCGUAGUUGGAUUUCUGCUGAGGACGACCGGUCCGCCCUCCGGGUGAGCAUCUGGUUCGGCCUUGGCAUCUUCUUGGUGAACGUAUCUGCACUUGACUGUGUGGUGCGGUACCCAGGACUUUUACUUUGAGGAAAUUAGAGUGUUUCAAGCAGGCAUACGCCUUGAAUACAUUAGCAUGGAAUAAUAAGAUAGGACCUCGGUUCUAUUUUGUUGGUUUCUAGAGCUGAGGUAAUGAUUAAUAGGGAUAGUUGGGGGCAUUCGUAUUUAACUGUCAGAGGUGAAAUUCUUGGAUUUGUUAAGACGGACUACUGCGAAAGCAUUUGCCAAGGAUGUUCUCAUUGAUCAAGAACGAAAGUAC